CUGUUAUUGAAGGAUCGCGCGCUCCGGACACCGAUGAGGAACACAAGGCUACAGACGACAGGGGUGAUGUCCCUUAUCCCCACCUAGGGCUUCAAAUGGGCUUGACCGCACAAGUGGACAUCAGUGCAAAUUAAGGGCAAGAAGCCAGAAAACACCGCUUUACUCUAAGAAUUGUGGGAAUCUGAAAGAAACUACUGAGGUAUGGAGUUGAAGCAGAAACCCUGAUAACUUUUAAGAAGUGUCUGGAUGAAAUAUUUCAACACCUUAGCUAUUAGCUAAACAGACGGACUUGAUGAACUGAAUAUUCUGUUCUCGCUUGUCAAACCUUCUUCCUGUGUGGUUCCUCUUUGUUCAUUAGGCUCAUAAAUUAAACUCAGAUUUGUUUUUUGUUGCUCUUUGUUUAGGUUUUCAUUGUUAAACUGCA